rnacentral:tRNA from 1 species
AUUGCUUUGGCAGAAUAGUGCAGUAAAUUUAGAAUUUAUGUAUGUAAUUUGUUUUACAGGCAAUA